rnacentral:lncRNA from 1 species
AAUACUUUUAGUUUUCGCACUCUAACUUGAGUAAAAGUGAAUAGAAAUCUAUGAAAUUUUAACACAAGGUUUAUGACCACAAAAGGAAGGUUGGGAUUGAUUUUGGGAGUUUUGGUCCCAACAUUUUAGGAAUUAGGGGCCAAAAAGGGCCCAAAUAAGCAUUUUCUUGGUUUUCGCACUAUAACUUUAGUUUAAGUUAAUAGAAAUCUAUGAAAUUUUGACACAAGGUUUAUGACCACAAAAGAAAGGUUGGUAUUGAUUUUGGGAGUUUUGGUUCCAACAGUUUAGGAAUUAGGGGCCAAAAAAGGACCCAAAUAAGCAUUAUUCUUGGUUUUCGCACAAUAACUUUAGUUUAAGUAAAUAGAAAUCAAUGAAAUUUAAACACAAGGUUUAUGACCACAAAAGGAAGGUUGGUAUUGAUUUUGGGAGUUUUGGUCCCAACAGUUUAGGAAUUAGGGGCCAAAAAGGGACCCAAAUAAGCAUUUUUCUUGGUUUUCGCACCAUAACUUUAGUAUAAUUAAAUAGAAAUCUAUGAAAUUUAAACACAAGGUUUAUGACCAUAAAAGGAAGGUUGGUAUUGAUUUUGGGAGUUUUGGUCCCAACAGUUUAGGAAUAAAGGGCCCAAAGGGUCCAAAAUUAAACUUUGUUUGAUUUCAUCAGAAAUUGAAUAAUUGGGG